rnacentral:rRNA from 1 species
UGAGGAAUAUUGGUCAAUGGACGAGAGUCUGAACCAGCCAAGUCGCGUGAAGGAUGACGGCCCUACGGGUUGUAAACUUCUUUUGUAUGGGAGUAAAAAAGACUACGCGUAGUCUAUUGCAAGUACCAUACGAAUAAGCAUCGGCUAACUCCGUGCCAGCAGCCGCGGUAAUACGGAGGAUGCAAGCGUUAUCCGGAUUUAUUGGGUUUAAAGGGUGCGUAGGCGGGAUGAUAAGUCAGCGGUGAAAGUUUGAGGCUCAACCUUAAAAUUGCCGUUGAAACUGUUUUCUUGAGUAUAUUUGAAGUAGGCGGAAUUCGUGGUGUAGCGGUGAAAUGCAUAGAUAUCACGAAGAACUCCAAUUUGCGAAGGCAGCUUUACUUAAACUAUAACUGACGCUGAAGCACGAAAGCGUGGGUAUCAAACA